UCAUGUUAUAUCACUCACAAUAAUAGACAAAUACAUAUACUGAGCCAUGUCGAAUACAAUGUCAAGGUCCAUCAAAAGAUAAGUUACUAAGAAUUCAAAUUGUUCAGGUAUUAGAGAAUUGAAUUACAGCAGAUGUCAGAUCCUGUAGAUAAUGUACUGGACUUACCUUAACGGUGUAUAUAUAUGUGUGUGUGUGUGU
rnacentral:lncRNA from 1 species